UACGAGUGCUUCAAGCGUUAUCCGGAAUCAUUGGGCGUAAAGGGUGUGUAGGUGGUUAUAUUAGUCUUGCGUUAAAUCUGCCGGCUCAACCGGGAGGCUGCGUGGGAAACGGUAUAACUUGAGGACGGGAGAGGUUUCUGGAACUCAUAGUGUAGCGGUGAAAUGCGUUGAUAUUAUGGGGAACACCAAAAGCGAAGGCAAGAAACUGGCCCGCUCCUGACACUGAAACACGAAAGCGUGGGUCGCGAAUGGG
rnacentral:rRNA from 1 species